rnacentral:lncRNA from 1 species
GGGCCAGGGAAGUCCUGCCUUCGACCUUCAACGUGGCCGGUUUCCUCUCAGGUUCCUGGAAGGAGAGAUGGAGGGAGGUGAAACCUGAGAAAGGAAUACAGGGAGGGAGGCCGGCUCAACCUCGGGGACUCUUUCUUCCGGCCUUCUUCUGAGGCUUCUCAUCUUCCUCACACUGGAACAAGAAAUCUUCAAGGGACUGAUAACAGCCCUGGUUCGUUCGAUUACCAGUAAACACACAAAGCCACGUCCAAAAGCAGCAGCUGCUCACACUGGAGAUGAACCCAUGAGCCCCCAUAAGCAUCACGCCAUCCCCAAGUGUACAGGAUGCAGACAAGAGCCAGUGUGUGGUCUGACGUCAAUAUGGUUCUUCUCUGACUCAGUGUCUUCAACAGAAGGGUUAGAGUA